GGCUGGGUAGCUCAGUUGGUUAGAGCAGUCGGCUCAUACCCGGCGUGUCGACGGUUCGAAUCCGUCCCCAGCCA
rnacentral:tRNA from 1 species